UACGGGGGGGGCAAGCGUUGUUCGGAAUUACUGGGCGUAAAGGGCGCGUAGGCGGCCUGCUAAGUCGGACGUGAAAUCCCUGGGCUCAACCCAGGAACUGCGUCCGAUACUGGUUGGCUUGAAUCCGGGAGAGGGAUGUGGAAUUCCAGGUGUAGCGGUGAAAUGCGUAGAUAUCUGGAGGAACACCGGUGGCGAAGGCGACAUCCUGGACCGGUAUUGACGCUGAGGCGCGAAAGCCAGGGGAGCAAACGGG
rnacentral:rRNA from 1 species